rnacentral:rRNA from 1 species
UACGUAGGGGCCGAGCGUUGUCCGGAGUUAUUGGGCGUAAAGCGCGCGCAGGCGGCCUCGCGCGCCCGACGUGAAAUCCCUCGGCUUAACCGAGGAACUGCCGUCCAAACUGCUUAGCUUGAGACCGGGAGAGGUGAGUGGAAUUCCCAGUGUAGCGGUGAAAUGCGUAGAUAUUGGGAGGAACACCAGUGGCGAAGGCGGCUCACUGGACCGGUACUGACGCUGAUGCGCGAAAGCGUGGGGAGCAAACGGG